rnacentral:rRNA from 1 species
CCUACGGGAGGCUGCAGUGGGGAAUAUUGGACAAUGGGCGAAAGCCUGAUCCAGCCAUACCGCGUGUGUGAAGAAGGCCUUCGGGUUGUAAAGCACUUUCAGUGGGGAAGAAAGCCUUGGGGCUAAUACCCUCGAGGAAGGACAUCACCCACAGAAGAAGCACCGGCUAACUCCGUGCACAGCAGCCGCGGUAAUACGGAGGGUGCGAGCGUUAAUCGGAAUUACUGGGCGUAAAGCGCGCGUAGGCGGUCUGAUAAGCCGGUUGUGAAAGCCCCGGGCUCAACCUGGGAACGGCAUCCGGAACUGUCAGGCUAGAGUGCAGGAGAGGAAGGUAGAAUUCCCGGUGUAGCGGUGAAAUGCGUAGAGAUCGGGAGGAAUACCAGUGGCGAAGGCGGCCUUCUGGACUGACACUGACGCUGAGGUGCGAGAGCGUGGGUAGCAAACAGGAUUAGAUACCCUGGUAGUC